AAAUAUUAAUUUAUAGAGUUUUCUACUGUAUAGUAAUCUAUUACGCAAAAAAUAGAUGCCUAAUCCCUAUUUAGACAAAAAAUAUUUACAAUUUCAAAAUUAUAUUGGUAUAUUCUGAUCAUAACUAUUAAAAUAUACAAAUUACAUAUAACUUGAAAUAUACUGAUUUCCUAAACAUAUUUAAAAUAUAAAUACAUUCAUUAACAAAAUAUAAAAAUGAGGAAAUGUAACCAAAAAUAUAGCUAUGUAAAUGAGAAUCAAGACCGAAAAAUAUAAUAAAUAUAUUCAGACACACACGCUCAAAUUCAACUCAAAAUUUUAUCGGGUUUCUAUCAUUGUUAUUUGAACCAAGCCAAAAAAUAAAAUAACAAGACCCAUGCCAAACCGAAAUUCAUAAAUAACUUAACUAUUACUAUAUUUCUUGAACCAAAAAAACCAUAAACGUAUCAAAACUAAAGUGAAAAAAAAUACAAAUAAAAAUAAAACCAAAGUUUAUAAACUGUCAUCGAAUCAUGUAAAAUACAAUUUAAAAUAUAAAUUAUAAAUAGAAAUAAAAAUAAAAUAACCCCACGCAAUCGCUGGGUCAGAACCUAGAACUUGGAUGCGCAAGUUUUUUUUAAACUUUUUUUAUAAGUAAUUAUUUAUUUUCUUAGUAAUAAUAUAUAUUUUAAAAUUUUACCUGCAUUAAAUAAUUAUUUAAUAUGGUAUGUAUAAAUAUAAGAAUUUCAUAUUUUACAUUGAGUAAUUGAUUUUGUCUUGUAAAGUAUCAAUUGUAGGAAAAAAAGAAAUUUC
rnacentral:lncRNA from 1 species